rnacentral:rRNA from 15 species
GCACGGUGGAUGCCUUGGCACCAGGAACCGAAGAAGGACGUAGGAAUCUGCGAUAAGCCUCGGGGAGUCGAUAACCAGACUGUGAUCCGAGGAUUUCCGAAUGGGGAAACCCGGCUGGAGGCAAGUCCAGUCACUCCCGGCUGAAUAUAUAGGCCGGUUAGAGGGAACGUGGGGAAGUGAAACAUCUCAGUACCCACAGGAAGAGAAAACAACAGUGAUUCCGAGAGUAGUGGCGAGCGAAAUCGGAAGAGGCCAAACCUACUUCGUGUGAUACCCGGCAGGGGUUGCGAGGUGGGGGUUGUGGGGCCGUUCGACCGAAUCUGCCGGUUCGGUGCAGAGUAAGAAAUUCGCAGGGAAGCUGAAGCCGGUUGGAAAGCCGGGCCGUAGAGGGUGAUAGCCCCGUAGGCGUAAGCUGUGAACUCUGGAGCGUGACCCCAAGUAACACGGAACCCCUGAAAUUCCGUGUGAAUCUGGCGGGACCACCCGUUAAGCCUAAAUACUCCUUGGUGACCGAUAGCGGACAAGUACCGUGAGGGAAAGGUGAAAA